rnacentral:rRNA from 1 species
AACGAACGCUGGCGGCAUGCCUAACACAUGCAAGUCGAACGAGAUCUUCGGGUCUAGUGGCGCACGGGUGCGUAACGCGUGGGAAUCUGCCCUUUGGUUCGGAAUAACAGUUGGAAACGACUGCUAAUACCGGAUGAUGACGAAAGUCCAAAGAUUUAUGCGCCAGAGGAUGAGCCCGCGUAGGAUUAGCUAGUUGGUGUGGUAAAGGCGCACCAAGGCGACAAUCCUUAGCUGGUCUGAGAGGAUGAUCAGCCACACUGGGACUGAGACACGGCCCAGACUCCUACGGGAGGCAGCAGUGGGGAAUAUUGGACAAUGGGCGAAAGCCUGAUCCAGCAAUGCCGCGUGAGUGAUGAAGGCCUUAGGGUUGUAAAGCUCUUUUACCCGGGAUGAUAAUGACAGUACCGGGAGAAUAAGCUCCGGCUAACUCCGUGCCAGCCGCCGCCGUAAUAC